GAUGAACGCUGGCGGCGUGCCUAAUACAUGCAAGUCGAGCGAACGGACGAGAAGCUUGCUUCUCUGAUGUUAGCGGCGGACGGGUGAGUAACACGUGGAUAACCUACCUAUAAGACUGGGAUAACUUCGGGAAACCGGAGCUAAUACCGGAUAAUAUUUUGAACCGCAUGGUUCAAAAGUGAAGGACGGUCUUGCUGUCACUUAUAGAUGGAUCCGCGCUGCAUUGGCUAGUUGGUAAGGUAACGGCUUACCAAGGCAACGAUGCAUAGCCGACCUGAGAGGGUGAUCGGCCACACUGGAACUGAGACACGGUCCUGACUCCUACGGGAGGCAGCAGUAGGGAAUCUUCCGCAAUGGGCGAAAGCCUGACGGAGCAACGCCGCGUGAGUGAUGAAGGUCUUCGGAUCGUAAAACUCUGUUAUUAGGGAAGAACAUAUGUGUAAGUAACUGUGCACAUCUUGACGGUACCUAAUCAGAAAGCCACGGCUAACUACGUG
rnacentral:rRNA from 1 species